UACAGAGGUGGCAAGCGUUGUUCGGAAUUACUGGGCGUAAAGGGCGCGUAGGCGGCCUUCUAAGUCAGACGUGAAAUCCCCCGGCUUAACCUGGGAACUGCGUCUGAUACUGGGAGGCUAGAGUAUGGGAGAGGGAUGUAGAAUUCCAGGUGUAGCGGUGAAAUGCGUAGAUAUCUGGAGGAAUACCGGUGGCGAAGGCGGCAUCCUGGACCAUUACUGACGCUGAGGCGCGAAAGCUAGGGGAGCAAAC
rnacentral:rRNA from 1 species